rnacentral:rRNA from 1 species
CAAUAGCGUAUAUUAAAGUUGUUGCAGUUAAAAAGCUCGUAGUUGGAUUUGUGGUUCGUCCCGCCGGCUGGGUCAUUGACUUUUGCUGUGCUGGUCGUCCAUCCUUGGGUGGAAUCUGUGUGGCAUUAGGUUGUCGCGCAGGGGAUGCCCAUCGUUUACUGUGAAAAAAUUAGAGUGUUCAAAGCAGGCUUAUGCCGUUGAAUAUAUUAGCAUGGAAUAAUGAUAUAGGACCUUGGUACUAUUUUGUUGGUUUGCGCACUGAGGUAAUGAUUAAUAGGGACAGUUGGGGGUAUUCGUAUUCCAUUGUAAGAGGUGAAAUUCUUGGAUUUUUGGAAGACGAACUACUGCGAAAGCAUUUACCAAGGAUGUUUUCAUUAA